rnacentral:lncRNA from 1 species
GGACAGGGAGCCGAAUUAUUCGCACCACCACCCCUUUUGGUGAACCCACCACGGCCCCACCCCCAAGUGUGACCGCGUGCCGAUCGAAAGGCCGUCGCUACUGGGACAAGCGUCCCGGGUCCCUCAGGCUGAGUCACGGACGGCGCGCGCGCCCACUGCGUCCCGUCGCCUAUAAAUAUGAGCGGAGCCAGGCUCGGGAGGCCGCGGCUUCGUCUCUCCGUGACGCACCCUGCCCGUCAGGCCACGCGCCAUGCACCCGCCAGCUCGAGUCGCGUUGCUGUCGUUGGGUUUGGCGGUCACUUUGGCCGCAGGAAUCGGCCGCGGUUCAAGUACCCCAGUUCUGCGGAGAAUUUGCAUCCCUCCCUGGAAUACGCUGCAGCGCUGGCACUCGGACAGUGUCAGAGCACUACAAGAAUACCGAUCUACCAAGAAGGAGCCACUUUCAGACCAGUUCCCAUCCGUCCUGGAGCCGAAACUGGAGUGUCUCCCACGUGCCGCCACCACCUUCAACAAGCUGCGAAAUGGUCUACCAGCGCGUCUCAAGGAGUACCAAGUGGUAUUCAGCAAACUUCAUGCCCUGGUUAACGAGGUCAGAAAAAGUGAGAAAAACACCACGCUCCAAAAGAACCUGCACAUCUACGCGGUCCAAACGGCGGCCGUAAUGCGCAAGUCACUGGGUGACUGUUCCGGCAUGAACACCUCGUUGGCACGCUGCAUCUCCACUCGGAAGGACAUGAGCUAUCACAAGCCACGUCCGCGGCUUCGUCAUCCUGAACGAGUUACGCCUUUGGCUGGACCGUGUGACCACGGAGCUCGAGGGGUUUGGGCAGUUUGAAGGAUCUGGAGAGUGCCGUUGCUCACAGAUGAAACGAAGGAGCCUCCGUAACGGAGGCCACAAGGCUAGAGGAAGAUCAAUGAGAAGGAAUAACCGUGGAGGACCAAAGCGCAAGAAUGCCCGCCGGUGGUGACUCCCUCUGUUCGCUGUACUAAAUGAACGUCCCGGAUAUUCCACUUUAGGUCGUUGUGGACACUUCGUUUUAUAAAUGUGGUUUUGUUUUCAUUUCAUUGUCCCACGCUGCCAAGAACAAAACAGCAAGUCGUGAGUGAUGCACGUAACCCGGGAAGGAUGUUGCGUACACCAUGACGUCAUUGCACGAUGAACACACGUGAGAGCGCGCGGACACCACUGCACCCGCAAGUCUCUCCUUCCAUCGUCUUGCUUGGAGAGCGCAGCCACCGCUGAAGUUAUUUAUUUUGGACGCGAUAUUUUAUUGUUAUUUAUUGUCCUAUUUAAAGUCGGCCCGCGUAUUUUUAUAUGUUGAAGUCAAAGACUGGGGGUGGGGGAAAUGGGGAG